GAAGGAUUGAAACAGCAAUUAGAAGAAUUGCAGAAACAGCUGGGAAAGAAACAGAAGUUCGAAGAUGCUGUAUCUUCUAUCAAAUCCCUUUUCCUAAAGUUCUACCCUUCUGCUUCCACCUCUCUUCGCAAAACAGUAAGCCUCUUUCUUCUCCUUCAAGUUGAGAUCGAUUUCGUUUCUAAAUUUUAAAUCAUUUUAGAAUUCCGGUGUUGAAUUGCAGUUCUAUACUGUUAUUUGUCGAGUAGCGACGAUUUUAAAAACGAGAUACACAGCGCCUGGUUUCUGGCACGCCGGAUUAGGGCUAUUUGAGCAAGCAGAAGUCUUGGUUUCUGAUUCAUCUGAAAAGGAGCAUUUGAAGAAUUGUAUUGCCCAAGCCAAAGAACAAUUGAAUCUGGCCCAAAAUCCUCCUGACGUUUCCUCGAGUUCCUCUCGUGGAGGUUGAAUUUCUGUAAAAAAUGCAUCUUUUUUAUUGGAAAGUUUAUGAAUUUUACAAUUUUUUUUCCUGAUUUUGUUAUUGUGCAUAUAAUAUUCAAUUAUAGGGUAUCUUUUUGAGGGUCACCUUACCGUGGAUCCUGAGCCACCAGAGCCUCUGUGGCUGUUGCAGUCAAACUUAAUGCGAGCAGCCUCUAUUUUGGAGGCUGAAUCCGCUGGAGGUCCAUCCGACCAUAAUAACACGACGAGAAAUGCUUCCGCUAUGCUAGAAGAGCUCAUAAGCAACCUUGAUGACAUUAUACCUGAGGUAGAAUUCAGCUCCUCAAGUUUGUCCUUUUGAAUUAAACCUUAUGGUUUUAAUUUUUUCCCCGAGGAAAUAAUAGGAAUUAACUUAAUUAUGUAAUUAAUUUAACUGUUUAGUUUGAAACUUUUAGCAGUGUUCGAUGUUUUCACGUUCUGUUUUUAAAUCUUAAUGGUGUUUGGAGUUUACAUUCAGAUGGAUUCGUCCUUUGAAUCCAUAUUUUUAUCUGAUUUAAUUUAAUGAUGUGUGGUUAAUGGAACUGAUGUUUUGUUCAAGGAAUUAACAUUGGGCUCAUUUUAAUAUUUCUGUCUUUAAGAUUAUGGUUCCAGACAAUGAAUCUAGAGUUCCAAAAGCGCCUCCCGCCAGUAAAGAGGUUGUUGCAAAGCUUCCAGUCAUUACUCUCACGGAGGAAAUCUUGGCCAGGCUUGGACAAGAUGCAGAGUGUGCAAUUUGUAAGGAGAAUUUGGUGGUUAAUGAUAAGAUGCAAGAGUUGCCUUGCAAGCACACAUUCCAUCCUCCUUGUCUAAAGCCAUGGCUGGUAAGCUUCUUGAUUGUGUUAACAUUUGCUUUUCAGUACUGUCAAAUACUUGAGCUGCAUAUGACAAAUACUAUCAAACAAUGCAUGUUUCUGAUUGGAAGCAACCUUUGCACAGGAUGAGCAUAAUUCUUGUCCAAUUUGCCGGCAUGUUUAAAUAUUUAAUUUAUCUAAUUUUAUAAAUUAUAAAAUUAUAUUGAUCGAAAAUUUUUAAAGUAAAAAUAUCUAAUAAAUAUAAUUUUAUAAAUUUAAAUAUUCAAUAAAUAUCAUAAUAAUAAGGUAUACUAGAAAUAUAAUUUUUCAAUUUUUUAUCAUUAAUAAUUUAUUAAUAAUUAUCUUUUAAUUCAUCGAUAGAUUUAAAUAGUUGAAAUAUUAUUAUAAUUACAUAAUAAAAAUAAAAUCUCUUCCGCUUGAAGAGAAUUUGAAUCCAAUCCACUUUUCUCCUGUUAAAUAUUUUGUUUUUUAGCCCAUUAAAAUUUUUCAUUAUAAAAAAAUCAUUUUUAUUGGAUGAAUUUGUUUUUUUUAAUUUUCAGAAUGAAAAUUUGACAAUUCUAGAAUCCUUUCCGCGUUAGAAAUAUAAUAACAGACCAAACCAUUACUCAAACAGGCCCUGGUUUCCCCUUCGCUAAGAAAAAGAAUAUCAUAAAUUCAGAACAGAAAUUCAACACAGCAAAAAUUGAAGCUUUUGUAAGUUCCAGAUUUUGAAUUGCGAGAAAACAAAAAUGGCAUCAUCUGAGGAAGGAUUGAAACAGCAAUUAGAAGAAUUGCAGAAACAGCUGGGAAAGAAACAGAAGUUCGAAGAUGCUGUAUCUUCUAUCAAAUCCCUUUUCCUAAAGUUCUACCCUUCUGCUUCCACCUCUCUUCGCAAAACAGUAAGCCUCUUUCUUCUCCUUCAAGUUGAGAUCGAUUUCGUUUCUAAAUUUUAAAUCAUUUUAGAAUUCCGGUGUUGAAUUGCAGUUCUAUACUG
rnacentral:lncRNA from 1 species